rnacentral:rRNA from 1 species
UGAAUAAAAUUCUAGGUAGAGUUAKGAUAAUGACAUUUUCUGCCUAUGUGUCUUGACCAAAUUACGUGCCAGCAGUCGCGGUAAUACGUAGAAGACUAGUGUUAUUCAUGUUUAAUCGGUUUAAAGGGUACCUAGACGGCAGAUCAAGCUUUUCCACCGGAGAGAAAAUUAAAAGGACUAAUAUGCUAGAGUUACUUACGAGGGGGUUUUAAAGUACUGCUGGUGUAGAGAUGAAAUUCUGUCAUACCUCUUUUCGAAAGAAAAAUGAUGGCACAGGUAUAGGCGAAGGCAUCCCCUUAUGGGAUAACUGACGUUGAGGGACGAAGGCUUUAUAUAAUGAACAGGAUUAGGUACCCUAGUAGUAAAAGCAGUAAAUGAUGAAUGUCAUAGAUUAGAUUAGUUUAUUCUAUAAAUGAAAGUGUAAGCAUUCCACCUCAUGAGUAAUUUGGCAACAUUGGAAUUGAAAUCAUUAGACCGUUUCUGAAACCAGUAGUGAAGUAUGUUGUUUAAUUUGAUGAUCCGCAAAAAACCUUACCACAAUUUGAAUAUUUAUAUUAGAUUUUUUUUUUAUUAAUUUUCUCUAAAAGAGGUAAUAAGUUAAUAAAGAGGCAAUAAGAUAUAUUUACAAGCGUUGCACGGCUGUCUUCAGUUAAUGUCGCGAGAUUUUGGUUAGAUCCAUUAAAUUAACGUAAACCCUUACUUUAUUUUU